rnacentral:rRNA from 1 species
UGGCCUACGGGGGGCUGCAGUGGGGAAUUUUGGACAAUGGGCGAAAGCCUGAACCAGCCAUGCCGCGUGCAGGAUGAAGGCCUUCGGGUUGUAAACUGCUUUUGUACGGAACGAAAAGACUCUGGUUAAUACCUGGGGUCCAUGACGGUACCGUAAGAAUAAGCACCGGCUAACUACGUGCCAGCAGCCGCGGUAAUACGUAGGGUGCAAGCGUUAAUCGGAAUUACUAGGCGUAAAGCGUGCGCAGGCGGGUAUAUAAGAAAGAUGUGAAAUCCCCGGGCUCAACCUGGGAACUGCAUGUGUGACUGUAUAGCUAGAGUACGGCAGAGGGGGAUGGAAUUCCGCGUGUAGCAGUGAAAUGCGUAGAUAUGCGGAGGAACACCGAUGGCGAAGGCAAUCCCCUGGGCCUGUACUGACGCUCAUGCACGAAAGCGUGGGGAGCAAACAGGAUUAGAUACCCCGGUUCC